rnacentral:ribozyme from 1 species
UUCAUGCCAAAAGAAAGAUAAAGCAAGGUAUGCAAAAACAAGGGAAAAAAGUAAGAAUAGGAAUAAUUUUACGUUCGUGCUU